rnacentral:miRNA from 1 species
GGUACAUGAGAUGGUUGACCAGAGAGCACACGCUUUAUUUGUGCCGUUUGUGACCUGGUCCACUAACCCUCAGUAUC